rnacentral:rRNA from 1 species
CUACGUAGGGGGCGAGCGUUGUCCGGAAUUACUGGGCGUAAAGGGUGCGUAGGUGGCACUUUAAGUUGGAUGUGAAAUCCCCGUGCUUAACAUGGGAGCUGCAUCCAAUACUGGAGAGCUAGAGUGCAGGAGAGGUAAGCGGAAUUCCUAGUGUAGCGGUGAAAUGCGUAGAUAUUAGGAGGAACACCAGUGGCGAAGGCGGCUUACUGGACUGUAACUGACACUGAGGCACGAAAGCGUGGGGAGCAAACAGGAUUAGAUACCCUGGUAGUCCACGCUGUAAACGAUGAAUACUAGGUGUAGGGGGUGUCAACUCCCUCUGUGCCGCAGCAAACGCAAUAAGUAUUCCGCCUGGGGAGUACGGCCGCAAGGUUGAAACUCAAAUGAAUCGACGGGG